rnacentral:lncRNA from 1 species
AAUGUUUUGUUUGUAGCUUUUCGUCCUUGGCUUUCAGGAGUCCCACUCUUCCUACCACAGUGGACCCUUAAUCAAUUAGCCACAUGGCUGGUGAUGAGAAGUAGGUAUGGAUCGUUGAAGGAUUUAAUACUUGGUCUUCCUUUUAGAUUUUAUAUGGAAAAUAUGGAAUUAUAUGCAGGAUGUGAUAUUCUUAUCCUCAUGAUGUAAUCCUUUCUCUAUGGGAAAUUCAUAAUUGUUGGAUUCUACUCUUGGUUUGUCUCAUUGAACCUCUUCCCAUUUGCUUUUGAUGCAUGAUCUUUGCCAUAAGAAAUAUCAAACCAUCAAUCAUCCCGUAAGAUUGCCCAAAUGGCCAGAGCAUGCCAAAGGCAAUGAAAUGAGUCGCCGCAUGCUCAA